GUGUUUGGGUGUGGACAGGUGUAGCCUUGCCAUGGGCUGGGAAUAAGGAUGAUUCUGGAAUAAAAUAGUAAAACCUGGAGCAAUUUGAAACUUUUGGACCCCUCUACACUUCUCAGAACUCAGUCAAUGACUAAAUUUUUGGACCCUAAUUUUUUCUUUUUAUUCGAGUUUAAUCUCCUGCAGUUUCGCAAUCUCAGGCUUAAUUGAUUUCUUAUACCUAAGUAUCCAACAGCUGCUCGUAGAGAGGAAAAAAAUAACCAGAUGCGCAGAACAACUGCAUUGCUGUAUGCAAAGAACAGAUUCAAACAAAUCUACACAAUGAAAGGAACUGGGGGUAUAAUGGCUACCUCGGCACCAAGUAAGCAAGAAAAUAAUUAUUCGUGGGAAGGGGGGCCAAUUUCUAACAAGGGUGAUCCUAUUGUUGCGUUCAGCAAGCCACCUCCAUUCCCACCUUUUCUUGGACCUUUGGUUGCUAUUUCAUUGUUGGAGAUGUGGUCAAAUUGUGACAGAUGCGAUGACUGACGGGUGAUCCAAAUCCUUCACUUGACUAACUAAUAUCAUCUUUCAAAAGAACCUUUGUCAGUGUUACUGAGAAAUCUUCGAGAGGAUGAGCAGAAGUUUGAAUGCAUAGCUUAAUAAUGCAGUUACGAAGUUCCAAAUGUUGACGUAGCAUGCCAGAAGGGGAUCACACAAUGGUGCCAAAAAUAAACCAUAGUAUUUUUGUGUCUGUUCAAGAACAGUUUGGGGACUCCUUAGGAACCCUGCAGGAGUAAAAUAUCUCAAUGUAAAUAUGCUAUCUGUAUGAUAGACCCUGUUCAUGUAAUGUUUGUGAAGAUUAAUGACAUACACUCAGCAGUUGAUGGAAAA